AUACGGAGGGUGCGAGCGUUAAUCGGAAUUACUGGGCGUAAAGCGCGCGUAGGCGGCUUGGUAAGUCGGGUGUGAAAGCCCCGGGCUCAACCUGGGAAUUGCAUUCGAGACUGUCAGGCUAGAGUGUGGGAGAGGGUAGUGGAAUUCCCGGUGUAGCGGUGAAAUGCGUAGAUAUCGGGAGGAACAUCAGUGGCGAAGGCGACUGCCUGGCCCAACACUGACGCUGAGGUGCGAAAGCGUGGGUAGCAAACAGGAUUAGAUACCCUGGUAGUCCACGCCGUAAACGAUGUCGACUAGCCGUUGGGAACCUUAGAGUUUCUUGUGGCGCAGCUAACGCGAUAAGUCGACCGCCUGGGGAGUACGGCCGCAAGGUUAAA
rnacentral:rRNA from 1 species